UGGGGAAUCUUGCGCAAUGGGCGAAAGCCUGACGCAGCAACGCCGCGUGUGUGAUGAAGGUCUUCGGAUCGUAAAGCACUGUCGCGAGGGAAGACGAGCCCAAGACUAACAAGCUUGGGAAGAGACGGUACCUCGAGAGGAAGCACCGGCUAACUCUGUGCCAGCAGCCGCGGUAAUACAGAGGGUGCGAGCGUUGUUCGGAAUUAUUGGGCGUAAAGCGCUUGUAGGCGGCUCGAAAAGUCCCGUGUGAAAGCCCCUGGCUUAACCAGGGAAGUGCGCGGGAAACUGACGAGCUUGAGUGCCGGAGAGGGUCGCGGAAUUCCCGGUGUAGAGGUGAAAUUCGUAGAUAUCGGGAGGAACACCAGUGGCGAAGGCGGCGACCUGGACGGACACUGACGCUGAGACGCGAAAGCGUGGGGAGCAAACAGGAUUAGAUACCCGCGUAGUCC
rnacentral:rRNA from 1 species